rnacentral:lncRNA from 1 species
AAUUAGGUCUUUUUAAACUUUUAGACUACUUCUAAAACUUUUCAAUUAAUUAUGCUAAGUUAUAUAGAUGCACAGUGAAAUUUAAACUUAGCAACAGUUUGAUGUAUAGAAUGUAACGAGAUUGAAUAUGCUUGCAACUAAAGGAUGCGCGGAUAAAAGUUAAGCAAGCAAUUUAUCUAAGUAAGUAAGUGAGUAAGUUAGACAAUGACAAGAAUCAUUACAAACACAACAAACAUAUAGUGGUUCGGUGCACCCCAGCACCUACAUCCACUCCCCAAGACCUCUUGGGAAUUUCACUAUAAUCCUACAGAUUACAGCCGGUUGUUUUACAAGCUCACAACCCAACUUGUUGUUUUGN